GGCCAGCAAGCUACCAGAGGCCAACCUACUCCUGCUCUGGCAGUUGCUGCCACUGCUUAUCAGCAUCAGCAAGAAUGUGGCCACGACGAAGAUGACUGCUGGGAACCUCCCAUCUGCCUGGCACCAAACCUUCUGAGCCCACCCCAGGAGCUGCCCCUGGAUGUCCUGGCUCUGGAGACAGGGAAGGUGAUGAAGCUCUUCGAGUUCCUUAUUGAACACCAUGAGGAACUCCUUGGAGAGCAGGUGGCUGGGCUGGCCAGCAAGGGGGAUGAGGAGACACCAGCAGCACAAGCAGAGCUGGAAACAGCAGAGGUGCCUCCUGUUGCUCCUGAGAGUGAACAGCAGACGAGAUUUUCCAGGGAGAAAGGGUAAAACUGCCUGGCUUUGCUUGGCUCAGGGUAACCAUGGCUUUACCUGUCUCACAAUACUAUUGAAUGGAAAGGUUCUCAGGCUCUUCACGCAACACCAGGAAAUGAAGAGCAGCCUGGGAAAAGGGCAGCGACGGGCCACUGUGCCAGAAGAAGAGCAAAACUGAGCUCUCAGGGAUGGGCAACUGAAGAAAUUCAAGCAGGGGAAGAACAAGGCACCCAGGUAUGUAGCAGAGCCUGUGUUCCAUCUUUUUGCCAAGCUCUGAGUAUAGGAAACACUCCUGAGGUGCACAGUAUGGUCCUUCCCUCUGGGGAACAUGUAUGUCAGGAGAAACAUGCUCACCCAGCAUUGCCUGCCAACCUCUGAUUUUAGUAUGGCAAAGCAAGGGAUGCUGCUGCUAGGUUU